UGGGGAAUAUUGGACAAUGGGCGCAAGCCUGAUCCAGCCAUGCCGCGUGAGUGAUGAAGGCCCUAGGGUUGUAAAGCUCUUUCACCGGUGAAGAUAAUGACGGUAACCGGAGAAGAAGCCCCGGCUAACUUCGUGCCAGCAGCCGCGGUAAUACGAAGGGGGCUAGCGUUGUUCGGAUUUACUGGGCGUAAAGCGCACGUAGGCGGACUUUUAAGUCAGGGGUGAAAUCCCGGGGCUCAACCCCGGAACUGCCUUUGAGACUGGAAGUCUUGAGUAUGGUAGAGGUGAGUGGAAUUCCGAGUGUAGAGGUGAAAUUCGUAGAUAUUCGGAGGAACACCAGUGGCGAAGGCGGCGCACUGGACCAUUACUGACGCUGAGGUGCGAAAGCGUGGGGAGCAAACAGG
rnacentral:rRNA from 1 species